rnacentral:rRNA from 1 species
GAUGAUAUAAAUAUUUUUUUUUUUUUGUUUUAAGGGGGGUUUAGAGUUUGUUUUCUGCUCAGGACGAACGCUGGCGGCGUGCUUAACACAUGCAAGUCGAACGAUGAACCACUUCGGUGGGGAUUAGUGGCGAACGGGUGAGUAACACGUGGGCAAUCUGCCCUGCACUCUGGGACAAGCCCUGGAAACGGGGUCUAAUACCGGAUACUGACCCGCCUGGGCAUCCAGGCGGUUCGAAAGCUCCGGCGGUGCAGGAUGAGCCCGCGGCCUAUCAGCUUGUUGGUGAGGUAACGGCUCACCAAGGCGACGACGGGUAGCCGGCCUGAGAGGGCGACCGGCCACACUGGGACUGAGACACGGCCCAGACUCCUACGGGAGGCAGCAGUGGGGAAUAUUGCACAAUGGGCGAAAGCCUGAUGCAGCGACGCCGCGUGAGGGAUGACGGCCUUCGGGUUGUAAACCUCUUUCAGCAGGGAAGAAGCGAAAGUGACGGUACCUGCAGAAGAAGCGCCGGCUAACUACGUGCCAGCAGCCGCGGUAAUACGUAGGGCGCGAGCGUUGUCCGGAAUUAUUGGGCGUAAAGAGCUCGUAGGCGGCUUGUCGCGUCGGUUGUGAAAGCCCGGGGCUUAACCCCGGGUCUGCAGUCGAUACGGGCAGGCUAGAGUUCGGUAGGGGAGAUCGGAAUUCCUGGUGUAGCGGUGAAAUGCGCAGAUAUCAGGAGGAACACCGGUGGCGAAGGCGGAUCUCUGGGCCGAUACUGACGCUGAGGAGCGAAAGCGUGGGGAGCGAACAGGAUUAGAUACCCUGGUAGUCCACGCCGUAAACGGUGGGCACUAGGUGUGGGCGACAUUCCACGUCGUCCGUGCCGCAGCUAACGCAUUAAGUGCCCCGCCUGGGAGACGCCCACUGU